AUUGAACGCUGGCGGCAUGCCUUACACAUGCAAGUCGAACGGUAACGCGGGGCAACCUGGCGACGAGUGGCGAACGGGUGAGUAACGCAUCGGAACGUGCCCAGUAGUGGGGGAUAGCCCGGCGAAAGCCGGAUUAAUACCGCAUACGACCUACGGGUGAAAGGGGGGGAUCGCAAGACCUCUCGCUAUUGGAGCGGCCGGUGGCAGAUUAGGUAGUUGGUGGGGUAAAGGCCUACCAAGCCGACGAUCUGUAGCUGGUCUGAGAGGACGACCAGCCACACGGGGACUGAGAAACGGCCCAGACUCCUACGGGAGGCAGCAGUGGGGAAUUUUGGACAAUGGGCGAAAGCCUGAUCCAGCCAUGCCGCGUGCGGGAAGAAGGCCUUCGGGUUGUAAACCGCUUUUGUCAGGGAAGAAAUCUUCUGGGUUAAUACCUCGGGAGGAUGACGGUACCUGAAGAAUAAGCACCGGCUAACUACGUGCCAGCCGCCGCCGUAA
rnacentral:rRNA from 1 species